AACGAACGCUGGCGGCGUGCCUAACACAUGCAAGUCGAACGUGAUUGGAAGCUUGCUUCCAUGAAAGUGGCGCACGGGUGAGUAACGCGUAGCUAAUCUACCUGAUGAUCCGGGAUAACACCUCGAAAGGGGUGCUAAUACCAGAUAAGCCCACGGAGGCCUUGGACUCUGCGGGAAAAGGGGGGGAUCGCAAGACCUUCCGUCAUCAGAUGAGUCUGCGUACCAUUAGCUAGUUGGUAGGGUAAAGGCCUACCAAGGCGACGAUGGUUAGCUGGUCUGGGAGGAUGAUCAGCCACACUGGAACUGAGACACGGUACAGACUCCUACGGGAGGCAGCAGAGGGGAAUUUUGCGCAAUGGGGGAAACCCUGACGCAGCAACGCCGCGUUAGUGAUGAAGGCCCCUGGGUCGUAAAGCUCUGACAGAGGGAAAGAAAUGCAGAGUGGCUAAUAUCCACCUUGCUUGACGGUACCCUCAAAGGAAGCACCGGCUAACUCCGUGCCAGCAGCCGCAGUAAGAC
rnacentral:rRNA from 1 species